UAAUAAAUACAAUUCCGGAUUUAUUAAAAAUCAGGGCUCCCCUGCUGUGCCCUCCUGGCACUAAGGAAAUAAAUAACCAGAGGGGGCACAGCUAGGUAAAGGGGGAAAAAAUCAGAUCUCAAGACAGACUCUUUGAACUACCCUUUCUCCCUCCCCAAUUCCCACCCCCUUAUGGCUCUUGGGACAUAGCACCUGAGCAGGCACCUCAGUCCGUGUAGAGUGUGACCGGCACCAAGGCAUGUCUGCCCUACCCAAGAAGGGAGACAGGGCUGAAGCACCAAUUGGAGGCACCUGAGGGUGGUGGCUGGGGGAGGGAGGAUGGGGUAACAGAACCUAGGCAGCAGAAGCAGCUGACGGGGGUCCGGCCCCCUCUCCAAGUUCAGCCAGUGCCUGACUGAGGAUCUUCCGGGGCAGUUCAACAGCAGCACGGAUGAAGACUGCAUCAUCCCGCACAUAGUUUCGCUUUCGAAUGUCCUGGUGGGAGAUGAACUUGGGAUAACCAAAGCCCAGAGAACUCUCAUCCAGGGAGCCCCGCCACGUGCCUGGCUUCUGGAAAUUCUUCCAGUUUGGGUCGGGGUGGAAGGUCUCAGUGACGUGCUGUGGUUUAGCCAGCCCAGGGUCGCUCUGAUCCAGCAGGGAGAAGGUGACACGGCGG
rnacentral:lncRNA from 1 species